AGAGUUUGAUCAUGGCUCAGGAUAAACGCUGGCGGCGUGCCUAAAACAUGCAAGUCGAACGGCCGCCCUUCGGGGCGGCAGUGGCGAACGGCUGAGUAACACGUGGGUGACCUGCCCUCGAGCGGGGGAUAACUGCCCGAAAGGGUGGCUAAUACCGCAGACGUCCCGGGUUCGAUCCCGUGACUGAACCGAUUCAGGGUUCGAGGAGGGGCCCGCGGCCGAUUAGCUCGCUGGUGGGGUAACGGCCUACCAGGGCUUCGAUCGGUAGCUGGUCUGAGAGGAUGAUCAGCCAGACUGGGACUGCGAACGGCCCAGACUCCUACGGGAGGCAGCAGUUAGGAAUUUUGGGCAAUGGGCGAAAGCCUGACCCAGCAACGCCGCGUGGGUGAUGAAGGCCCUCGGGUCGUAAAGCCCUUUUCCCAGGGAAGAUGAUGACGGUACCUGGGGAAUCAGCCCCGGCUAACUACGUGCCAGCAGCCGCGGUAAUACGUAGGGGGCAAGCGUUGUCCGGAUUUAUUGGGCGUAAAGCGCUCGCAGGCGGCCUGGCCAAGUCGUGCGUGAAAUCUCUCGGCUCAACUGGGAGCGGUCGUGCGAUACUGGUCGGCUAGAGGUCGGUAGGGGGAAGUGGAAUUCCGGGUGUAGUGGUGGAAUGCGUAGAUAUCCGGAGGAACACCAGUGGCGAAGGCGGCUUCCUGGACCGAUUCUGACGCUCAGGAGCGAAAGCGUGGGUAGCGAUCCGGAUUAGAUACCCCCGUAGUCC
rnacentral:rRNA from 1 species